UGCUAAUACCCGAUGUGCCGAGAGGUGAAAAGGUGAAAUCCGCCUGAAGAGGAGCUCGCGUCCGAUUAGCUAGUUGGUGGGGUAAAAGCUUACCAAGGCGACGAUCGGUAGCUGGUCUGAGAGGAUGAGCAGCCACACUGGGACUGAGACACGGUCCAGACUCCUACGGGAGGCAGCAGUGGGGAAUUUUCCGCAAUGGGCGAAAGCCUGACGGAGCAACGCCGCGUGGGGGAAGAAGGCCUUUGGAUUGUAAACCCCUUUUCUCAGGGAAGAAGAUCUGACGGUACCUGAGGAAUAAGCCUCGGCUAACUCCGUGCCAGCAGCCGCGGUAAUACGGAGGAGGCAAGCGUUAUCCGGAAUUAUUGGGCGUAAAGCGUUCGUAGGCGGCUGUUCAAGUCUGCUGUCAAAGACCGAGGCUCAACCUCGGGUCGGCAGUGGAAACUGAAUAGCUAGAGUGCGGUAGGGGUAGAGGGAAUUCCCAGUGUAGCGGUGAAAUGCGUAGAUAUUGGGAAGAACACCGGUGGCGAAAGCGCUCUACUGGGCCGAACCUGACGCUGAGGGACGAAAGCUAGGGGAGCGAAUGGGAUUAGAUACCCCGGUAAAUCCA
rnacentral:rRNA from 1 species